rnacentral:rRNA from 1 species
GAUGAACGCUGGCGGCGUGCCUAAUACAUGCCAGUCGAGCGAACAGACGAGGAGCUUGCUCCUCUGACGUUAGCGGCGGACGGGUGAGUAACACGUGGAUAACCUACCUAUAAGACUGGGAUAACUUCGGGAAACCGGAGCUAAUACCGGAUAAUAUAUUGAACCGCAUGGUUCAAUAGUGAAAGACGGUUUUGCUGUCACUUAUAGAUGGAUCCGCGCCGCAUUAGCUAGUUGGUAAGGUAACGGCUUACCAAGGCAACGAUGCGUAGCCGACCUGAGAGGGUGAUCGGCCACACGGGAACCGAGACACGGUCCAGACUCCUACGGGAGGCAGCAGUAGGGAAUCUUCCGCAAUGGGCGAAAGCCUGACGGAGCAACGCCGCGUGAGUGAUGAAGGUCUUCGGAUCGUAAAACUCUGUUAUUAGGGAAGAACAAAUGUGUAAGUAACUAUGCACGUCUUGACGGUACCUAAUCAGAAAGCCACGGCUAACUACGUG